rnacentral:rRNA from 1 species
CGACGACGUCGCGAGAGUCCACUGAACCUUAUCAUUUAGAGGAAGGAGAAUUCGUAACAAGGUUUCCGUAGGUGAACCUGCGGAAGGAUCAUUGUCGACACCUGCAAAGCAGAGCGACCCGCGAACCGUCUUUCAAUUCCCGGGACACCGGGGGGCGGCCAGCCGCCCGGUAGCCCGAAAGCUCCGGACGCUGGGGGUGCAACCCACCCCCAGCGAACGGAUCUCCGAACAAACCCCGGCGCGCGAAGCGCCAAGGUACUCUAACGAUACGGCAUGCGCCCGUAGCCCUGGGUUGCACAGAGUGCUCGCGGGUGUGAAUUGCAGAAUCCCGUGAACCAUCGAGUCUUUGAACGCAAGUUGCGCCCGAAGCCUUGGCUGAGGGCACGUCUGCCUGGGUGUCACGCAUCGCGUUGCAUCCAAACCCUUCACCCUUCGGACGUUGCGGUGAUGGUCUGGAUGCGGAAGCUGGCCUCCCGCGGCCGCGAGCCACGGAUGGCCCAAACACGUGCUAGGGGAGCGAAGCGCCACGGCAUUCGGUGGUUGAUCCAAGCCCCAGAAGCCAGUGCCGGCGGUGGCCGCACCCGUCCCUAGCCGACGACCCUAAACGUUAACCAACGCGACCUCAGGUCAGGCGGGGCUACCCGCUGAGUUUAAGCAUAUCAAUAA